rnacentral:rRNA from 1 species
UACGGGGGGGGGCAAGCGUUGUUCGGAAUUACUGGGCGUAAAGGGCUCGUAGGCGGCCAACUAAGUCGGACGUGAAAUCCCCAGGCUCAACCUGGGAACUGCGUCUGAUACUGGAUGGCUUGAAUCCGGGAGAGGGAUGCAGAAUUCCAGGUGUAGCGGUGAAAUGCGUAGAUAUCUGGAGGAACACCGGUGGCGAAGGCGGCAUCCUGGACCGAUAUUGACGCUGAUGCGCGAAAGCCAGGGGAGCAAACGGG